rnacentral:tRNA from 1 species
GGCCCCGUAGCUCAGGGGAUAGAGCAGUGGUUUCCUAAACCAUGUGCCGGGCGUUCGAAUCGCCCCGGGGCCGCCA